GCGGCGGACGGGUGAGUAACACGUGGACAAUCUGCCCCCCGGCCGGGAUAGCCCAGGGAAACCUGGGAUUAAUACCGGAUGAGACGGGACCUGCGAUGGCGGGAUCCGGGAAAGGCGCUACGGCGCCGCCGGGGGAUGAGUCUGCGUCCCAUUAGCUAGACGGCGGGGUAACGGCCCACCGUGGCGACGAUGGGUAGCCGGCCUGAGAGGGUGGACGGCCACAUUGGAACUGAGACACGGUCCAGACUCCUACGGGAGGCAGCAGCUAAGAAUCUUCCGCAAUGGGCGAAAGCCUGACGGAGCGAACCGCCGCGUGAACGAAGAAGGCCGUGAGGUUGUAAAGUUCUUUUCGGGAGGGGGAACAACCGUGGCAGGGAAUGGCCGCGGGAUGACGUGAAUCCCGGAAUAAGCCCCGGCUAACUACGUGCCAGCCGCCGC
rnacentral:rRNA from 1 species